rnacentral:rRNA from 1 species
GUGGGGAAUCUUAGACAAUGGGCGCAAGCCUGAUCUAGCCAUGCCGCGUGGACGAUGAAGGCCUUAGGGUUGUAAAGUCCUUUCGCUGGGGAAGAUAAUGACGGUACCCAGUAAAGAAGCCCCGGCUAACUCCGUGCCAGCAGCCGCGGUAAUACGGAGGGGGCUAGCGUUGUUCGGAAUUACUGGGCGUAAAGCGCGCGUAGGCGGAUCGGAAAGUUGGGGGUGAAAUCCCGGGGCUCAACCUCGGAACUGCCUUCAAAACUCCCGGUCUUGAGUUCGAGAGAGGUGAGUGGAAUUCCGAGUGUAGAGGUGAAAUUCGUAGAUAUUCGGAGGAACACCAGUGGCGAAGGCGGCUCACUGGCUCGAUACUGACGCUGAGGUGCGAAAGCGUGGGGAGCAAACAGGAUUAGAAACCCUAGUAGUCC